rnacentral:rRNA from 1 species
GAAUAUUGGACAAUGGGGGGAACCCUGAUCCAGCCAUGCCGCGUGUGUGAAGAAGGCCUUUUGGUUGUAAAGCACUUUAAGCGAGGAGGAGGCUACUCUAGUUAAUACCUCGAGCUCGUGGACGUUACUCGCACAAUAAGCACCGGCUAACCCCGGUCCAGCGCCCGCGGUAAUACAGAGGGUGCAAGCGUUAAUCGGAUUUACUGGGCGUAAAGCGCGCGUAGGUGGCCAAUUAAGUCAAAUGUGAAAUCCCCGAGCUUAACUUGGGAAUUGCAUUCGAGACUGGUUGGCUAGAGUAUGGGAGAGGAUGGUAGAAUUCCAGGUGUAGCGGUGAAAUGCGUAGAGAUCUGGAGGAAUACCGAUGGCGAAGGCAGCCAUCUGGCCUAAUACUGACACUGAGGUGCGAAAGCAUGGGGAGCAAAC